UGCCGGCGACCGGCGGACGGGUGCGUAACGCGUAUGUAACCUACCUUUGACAGGGGGAUAACAUCGAGAAAUUGGUACUAAUACCCCAUAACAUCACCGGAGGCAUCUUCGGUGGUUGAAAACUCAGGUGGUCAGAGAUGGACAUGCGUUGUAUUAGCUAGUUGGUGAGGUAACGGCUCACCAAGGCGACGAUACAUAGGGGGACUGAGAGGUUAACCCCCCACAUUGGUACUGAGACACGGACCAGACUCCUACGGAAGGCAGCAG
rnacentral:rRNA from 1 species